rnacentral:rRNA from 1 species
GCGGCGGACGGGUGAGUAACGCGUGGGUAACCUACCCCAAAGUCCGGGAUAACAGCGGGAAACCGCUGCUAAUACCGGAUGUCUUUACCUUGGGGCAUCUUGAGGUAAAGAAAGGUAACGCUUUGGGAUGGGCCCGCGUCCCAUUAGCUAGUUGGUGAGGUAACGGCUCACCAAGGCGACGAUGGGUAGCCGGCCUGAGAGGGUGGACGGCCACACUGGGACUGAGACACGGCCCAGACUCCUACGGGAGGCAGCAGUAGGGAAUAUUGCGCAAUGGACGGAAGUCUGACGCAGCGACGCCGCGUGAGCGAUGAAGGUCUUCGGAUCGUAAAGCUCUGUCCUUGGGGAAGAAGGUCUUCGGACUUGACGGUACCCAAGAAGAAAGCCCCGGCUAACUACGUGCCACCAGCCGCGGUAAUACGUAGGGGGCGAGCGUUGUCCGGAAUUACUGGGCGUAAAGGGUGCGUAGGCGGCCCUUUAAGUCGGAUGUGAAAGCCCGCG